AGGUGGGAGGAUUGCUUGAGCCUGGGAGGUGGAGGUUGCAGUGAGCUGAGAUCACACCGCUGCACUUCAGCCUGGGCAACAGAGCAAGACCCUGUCUC
rnacentral:miRNA from 1 species